rnacentral:lncRNA from 1 species
CGGCCGUAGGGCGUCACAUAGGCCGCUGCCGCCGCCUUUUUGGCGUUCUUUUUUGCCGGCAUGCCCCUUGCGUCUGCCCGCGCCGCCGUGUCGUCGUGGCGCUGCGCCGCCUUUGCCUGUUGGCGGCCCGCAUUUUUCGUCCCUUUUUUUCUUUUGUUGGCGCCUCCGCGCCUGCCUCCCGCGUCCUCCUCGUGCUUGUCUUUUUGCGUGUACCUUUGGGCUUCCUUUUUCUAUUUUCGCUCUUCUUCCACCGCCUCUUUGCCGUCGG